GAGCCUCUGCCUUCCUUCCUAAAGACGUAGCUGGGGGAACAUCUGCCAACUUAAACAACCCCCCUUUCCCCUCCUCUCCCAUGCACCUGCUCUUUGUUUCUCUGCUGUUCCAUCCUUGUAAUGGUCCCAUUGCCUUCAUUGCCACAAGGGAGCUGGGUGUGGAAAGCCAAGGUAGUUUAAGAGAAAUGGCAAACUCACAAAUAUAAUUGCUCAAAUUUUAAUUUCAGUCAGUAUGCCAAUAUGUACGUACUGAAAAAAAGCAUUCAUCUAUUUCAGGAUGAGGAAUGGCCAGUGCCUGGGUGUCCUAAUGUUGGGCAGAGCAGGACGUGGAGCUCGUUUGUAGGUCUGAAGGCAGCAUGGACAGCUUGGCAGAUCCUUUUGUUUGGUGAUUGUGGUGUGUCUGAUAUGCUGGAAUAUGGCUCACAGAGCUCACCUACUUCUGAGGAAGCAAGUAUAGGCAACAAUUUGAGAAAGCUGAAGGAACAGAAAAGUGGCAAAACAAGAAGCAGCUGCUAUUCUCGUGCAUCCUUUUCUGUGGUGUUAGUGGGUCCCUGCGACACACCUUGUGUGAUCUGUUACCCUCUGGAUUUCUCCUGUGGUUGCGUUUUGUCUCUUCCUCUCAGGACCCUUUUGACCAUCUGUGGCUUGCGGAGAAUAUGAAAGCUCCUUCCUGUGUCCAAGAUCAAUAGCUUUAAAAAGAGAGUACAAGAAGCCACUAAUCAUCUUUUCCACCCGGCAUUAAUUUCUGAAGUGCUUCAGCGAGUUCGCUUUGAAGUUCUGUUAUUUAUUUAUUUUUAACAAGUGUCCAGAACACAAGGGCCCACCCACAUGUCCUGCAACAGGCGAUGGCUCCUCCAGUGCUGUUUGGAUGUGGGUGGGCCACGGCACUUUUUGGAAAGCUCUCCCAAAUCCUGGAAAUAAGAUUUCAAAAGCCAAUUGAGAAGUUUCCCCAUGUGCCCUGGCUGCAGUGGAAAGUGGUGCUGCUUUCCCGUCUGAAUCUUGGAUUAAGAAAAGAAGGAAAAAGGAGGGAGGGGGGGAUGGGGUGGAACUCAAUAGCAACUCUACGGGCUUAAAUGUGGUUCAAUUCCUCCGCUCUGCUGCAGCUGAAUAGGAGGAGACUGACUAAGGGAAGCUGUGUCCUUACAGCCUCCUCUUUGCAUGAGUAAAUAAGACAUUCCAGCACUGCAGAGGCAGAACUAGUGGAAAUAUAUAUAUUUAAGUUACUAAGUCAUCCACACACCUACCUGGUCUCUCUUCCUGUUUCUGCUGCACCCCAUGGCAACACCGAGGGCUGCUAUUACCACAGCAUUGCACAAGCCAGGAUUACACAUACAGCAUGGGAAUGGUUCCUCUGGAACUCUGAAGCAACACAAACAUUGGUCCUUUGCAAAUAGCAAAAAAAAAAAAAAAAAAGCUGUACUGCAAAAUGGGUGAUGUGGUAUUGGCUCACUCAGGGGUGAACCUGCCAGCAUGCUGGAGUGGGUAAGUACAUGAGCCUCGACAUUGCUUCCAGUUGUAUUUGGCCAGGAUUGUCUAAUCCAUCCUUGGCACUCAGAGAUGUUCACUUGUACACACGCCACAGAUGACUGAAUUGUAAUUGGCUGUUGCUCAGUUUGUAGGUACAGAUAAAAGCAACAUGCAUAUGUUUUGACCUUCGUACAGGUACAUUUCUAAUAGUCAGGCUUUGAAAAUGGGUUACUCCGUGUGUAGAUAUCGAAUAUAUAUGCCAACCCUGUAAGUCUGUUACUGAGUAUUAGGUAAGGAAGGAAGGCAUCUGUUGCUGGGAGAUCCCUCUUUGAAAACAGAGCAUAGCUAUCCCUUAUUUAUACACUGGAUUUACUUAUUUUUUGUUCAUGCACAUCUCUGUCAAACCCACUUCUGGCUGCCACAGAAGUGCUGAGGCACUGUGAGAAACUCUGUUUUUCCUGUUUUGCAGCACUAGUUUGGGUGGAACCAAAGUAUAACGAGGAAGCUUGAGCUGGCAAAGUUUCUUGCCCAAAUGCAUCAACAUGAAUUUCUGGGCAUCUGUGCUCAAUGUGAAGCACCUGCUCAUGUAAGGUAUGUUCUGUAAAGAUUGGAUGGUGGCCCGAUUAGAAAAGAAGAAUUCCCACAUUAGAGAAAAAUUACCUGUUGAAGGCACAACAGUGAUUGAGGAAAUCUGAGGCUCGGCAGUACGGCAGAAUAACAGAGCUAGGAGGAAAGGCUGUACAGCAGGGAGAGAGAUGUCCACAAGAAAUUAAAAGGUUGUGUAGUGAUUGCAGUAAACUGCUAACGUGCAGCACAGAGGAAAGUGGUUCCCUUUGUGUUUCUGGAAAUGCAAAAUGCAUUUCAGGCUGUCUCUCGAGGGUGAAGCACUUAUAAAGCAGUUGAAUGAUGACAGUGGAUUUCAGUGAAGCUAAAACUGAAUAGGGACAGCUGUAGACAUUUCCAUAAAGGGAAUCUCCCAGGAAGUAGUCUGUUAGGGAAUCCAAGCUUUGUGUUAGUAAACACUAGAUGCAGUGAUGCUUAAUCUUACUGGGGAUGUGUUUUCCUCAAAUUGAGUAUAAAAAUUAUGCUCCCUUUAUUCCAUUCUCCUCUGUUUCUCUCUCCUCCUUCACAUGUACAGUUGUUUCUGUUGUAUUUUUGAAGGCAGCUUUCCAUCUACUGGUGUGGGAUGAAGUCUGUUCUCUGGGCACUUGAUGUCUCAGGGUUCCAUAGCUGAUGCUUGUGCCUCUGGUGUCUCCUUCCUCGUGGCUGGCCAAUGGGACGAUGACCAAUACCAUGAUUGGGUGCAUACACACAAACUGUGGUUUUGAAGUCCUUGUACAAGUUGGACAGAUGGCAAAAGACAGCUUUGAUUGAAUUAAAAUCAAUAUAGAAGCAUUUCCAGAAUUUUUCACAUUGAAAAAAACACAAAAUCUUAGUUCUCAUACGAGGUUUCCUUGUGCCGAACAUUCAGUGUGAGACAGUUCCUGACACGAUGGCCCAAUCUCUGCCCAGGAUUACGCAGCUGAUGUGAUGUGAAUUUGGCUGAUA